rnacentral:lncRNA from 1 species
CCAAACGUACAAAGGAUCCGCAUGCAAAUGGGCGUAUGGGUAAUGUGGGUGGGCUAACUACGGGCCCAACCCGCAGGAGCUUCCGCUCCAUAUUGACUACAUCCGCCGUACAGCGAGCAGUAUGGGAGACCCACGUAUAAUUCGGGAACUAAUCCGCGCGAGUGAUGAGCUGGCAUAACUGAAAGGGGCAAACGCGAGAGGCAUCG